CAUGCCACCUGCUGGCCCUGAAAGCUUUCAAUUUUUGGUUGACAAAAGCUCCCUCCCUCUUUAGUGCAUGUAAGAUGUGUGUGGCUACCUGUGUAUGCCUGCAGCAGUGUUUUCCACAGGGUCUCACUGAGUCUUGACUCUCCUUCCUCAGCCUGCCCUAGCCUCCCAAGUGGCUGGGACUGCCAGCUCUGGCCACCACUUUCAACUCUUUAGGAUGGGUCAGGAUAAAAAAUAUUCUGUUUGAAAAGAUGCAGUUAUAUUAAUAGGCUGUUAUCACAGCAGUUACUAAACAUCAGAAAAUAUUUUCUCUUGUCAAAGUAAUAGUUCUUUCUCUGCAAUAUGAGGGAUUUUCUUCCCACCUCAGAUAAUAUAAUGUGAAAAAUACCUCCAGUCAGAAAUCAGACUGGUUAAAGCUGCUACCAGCCAGCCUCCUAAACUCCACUCUUGAGUGACCUUAGAGAACUUGUUUCACCUCUUCGGUCCUCAAUUCCUGUACUUGUAAAAUGGGGAGAUUCAGCUGUGAUUUCAAGGCUCAUUCCAGUUCUCGGAUCUGUGAAACAGGCAAAGUUCCAGGAAUAGUGAAUGGGAAGACGUAAGACCAUCCAUACAAGUGCCACAGCCCAGUGGAGAUGACGGACCUGGAGAAGAUUUGCCUGCCAUGGCAAAGGAGUGGGAGACAUGUGCUGAGGACAGCUUUGCAGAGGUGGAAUGUUACUAAAGGAAUGAACAGAUCAAAGGAUAUCAAAUCAUCGAGCUAAAAUGG